rnacentral:rRNA from 1 species
UACGAAGGGGGCUAGCGUUGUCCGGAUUUACUGGGCGUAAAGCGCACGUAGGCGGAUCGUUAAGUCGAGGGUGAAAUCCUGGAGCUCAACUCCAGAACUGCCUUCGAUACUGGCGAUCUAGAGUCCGGAAGAGGUGAGUGGAACUCCUAGUGUAGAGGUGGAAUUCGUAGAUAUUAGGAAGAACACCAGUGGCGAAGGCGGCUCACUGGUCCGGUACUGACGCUGAUGUGCGAAAGCGUGGGGAGCAAACAGG